rnacentral:rRNA from 1 species
UACGGGGGGGCAAGCGUUGUUCGGAAUUACUGGGCGUAAAGGGCUCGUAGGCGGCCAACUAAGUCAGACGUGAAAUCCCUCGGCUUAACCGGGGAACUGCGUCUGAUACUGGUUGGCUUGAGUGUGGGAGAGGGAUGCGGAAUUCCAGGUGUAGCGGUGAAAUGCGUAGAUAUUCGCAAGAACACCAGUGGCGAAGGCGGCUCACUGGCCCGAUACUGACGCUGAGGCACGAAAGCGUGGGGAGCAAACAGG